CUCCAUUCCGGCUCCGUCCACCCAGUGUUCAGACUACCUGUUCAUUGUCAUACUGGUGUACAGUAGUCUGCACAUUGGUUAGACUGGGCCGGGCUCUCCU
rnacentral:pre_miRNA from 12 species